rnacentral:rRNA from 1 species
AUGCCACCUUCCGUGCACGACACGGAAGGCCUGCCGUUCAUGAAGCAUGGUUGUGUCUUUAGUGCGCACCGCCGGAUGAACGACAUGCUAGGACACGCUAUCCCAAAUUUAUGCCGCUUCAUCUUGGAUGAGUCUCCAUCGUGUGGAACCGGACUAGAAAGCUGCGACAAUGAUUCCCGUUGCCCACCGCUAUGGAUCGUGCCAUCCAUGAAGAACACCUGGGACUGGAACCUAGAGGAGGACAUUAGUACUAGUAGAAUUGAGAUUGAAUGCACUUUCUUCCCCGUCUUCCACUCUUCUUCCUCCUCUCUUCUUCUUCCUUCUCUCUUCCCCAUCGUCGACCGCACAUCAUUUACCCCCGCUCACUGCUCGCCCGCCCACGCCAUCUUCCUUGUACCAUAUAACUGGAAUUACCGAUGCAAGUCGAAGAAGGAUUGGCCCGUGCUGCCGGCUAGCGUCAAGUUCGAUCCCACGGAUCAGGAGGUGAUCGAGCACCUUGAGGCCAAAGUGAGUGCUGAUAGCGUGAGAUUUCAGUCUCUCAUCGAUUUGUUCAUACCAACCAUCGACAGCGAGCACGGCAUAUGUUACACCCAACCUGAGAAACUUCCAGGUAUCACACUGAGUGGCCAGAAGCAUUUCUUCCAGCGCAAUUCCAGGGCGUUCAAAAGGGGGGCGUGGACGCGUCGGAAGAUACAGUUGGAGUGCGGCAUGCACGCGAUGUGGCACAAGACCGGCAAUACCUUGCUGAUGAUAGUCAAUGGCCGGCAGACAGGCAGCAAAAAAGGUUCUAGUGCUGCACACCAACAAGAACUUCGACCAAUAGAGGACUAA